CUUAGUUGCUCACUUGCUCUAUACGACAAUACCUUUUUAGUCCGUAAAAAAUUGAACUUCUCCCACAAAAUUUUCAUCUUCUUUUGCAGAAGUUGUUACUCUUCUUUUGUCGGAGUUGUCUUUCAAUAUGGAUGACGAUUCAAGUCAAGCACUCGAUGUGAUUACGAGUGAAAACGCGUCUAUGAUUGAGUCUAUCAAUUCAGCACCAGAAGAUGAUCAACUAUCAACAAAGAGAAAAUCUAUGCAACCUAGAUCUCUUGCUUGGCCGCAUUAUGAGAAGUUUGUAGAACAUGGGGUUACCAAAUCAAAGUACUUGACAGAUAGCUUGACAAAUCCCGUCCUUACAUGAUUUCUAGUCUCAAGUUGCCUCAAUCCUCAGGUUCUUUUCAAUGUUGUGACUAUGGCUAAAUCUUGAUGUAUUUUGGUGAGCAAUAAGCCUUUAUUUUUGGAGGAAUAGAGAACUCACACAAGAACAAGAGUGAAAUGACUAGAUUGUUUUAAACUAUUAAUAUUAGCAUGGUUGUAAGCAUUAACUUAAUUUUCUAUUAAAGAGUGAAUGAUUAUGAAGUAAGACCAUAACAUUUGGUGUAUUUUGAUGUAAAAAGUGGGUAUG